rnacentral:rRNA from 1 species
CUCAUCACAUCCUGGGGCUGUAGUAGGUCCCAAGGGUUGGGCUGUUCGCCCAUUAAAGUGGUACGCGAGCUGGGUUCAGAACGUCGUGAGACAGUUCGGUCCCUAUCCGUCGCAGGCGUAGGAAAUUUGAGAAGACCUGUCCUUAGUACGAGAGGACCGGGAUGGACGUACCUCUGGUGUACCAGUUGUUCUGCCAAGGGCAUGGCUGGGUAGCUAUGUACGGAAUGGAUAAGCGCUGAAAGCAUCUAAGCGCGAAGCCAACUUCAAGAUAAGAUUUCCCACCGCAAGGGUAAGACCCCAGAAAGACUAUCUGGUUGAUAGGUCGAAGGUGUAAGUGCAGCAAUGUAUUUAGCUUAUCGAUACUAAUAGGUCGAGGACUUGACCAAU